UACAGAGGUGGCAAGCGUUGUUCGGAAUUACUGGGCGUAAAGGGCGCGUAGGCGGCCUUCUAAGUCAGACGUGAAAUCCCCCGGCUUAACCUGGGAACUGCGUCUGAUACUGGGAGGCUUGAGUAUGGGAGAGGGAUGUAGAAUUCCAGGUGUAGCGGUGAAAUGCGUAGAUAUCUGGAGGAAUACCGGUGGCGAAGGCGGCAUCCUGGACCAUAACUGACGCUGAGGCGCGAAAGCUAGGGGAGCAAACAGGG
rnacentral:rRNA from 1 species